rnacentral:rRNA from 1 species
GAUGAACGCUGGCGGCGUGCCUAAUACAUGCAAGUCGAGCGAACGGACGAGAAGCUUGCUUCUCUGAUGUUAGCGGCGGACGGGUGAGUAACACGUGGAUAACCUACCUAUAAGACUGGGAUAACUUCGGGAAACCGGAGCUAAUACCGGAUAAUAUUUUGAACCGCAUGGUUCAAAAGUAAAAGACGGUCUUGCUGUAACUUAUAGAUGGAUCCGCGCUGCAUUAGCUAGUUGGUAAGGUAACGGCUUACCAAGGCAACGAUGCAUAGCCGACCUGAGAGGGUGAUCGGCCACACUGGAACGGGGACACGGUCAAGACUACUACGGGAGGCAGCAGAAGGGAACCUUCCGCAAUGGGCGAAAGCCUGACGGAGCAACGCGACGUGAGUGAUAAAGGUCUUCGGAUCGUAAAACUCUGUUAUUGGGGAAGAACAUAUGUGUAAGUAACUGUGCACAUCUUGACGGUACCUAAUCAGAAAGCCACGGCUAACUACGUG